rnacentral:rRNA from 1 species
UACGAGGGGUGCAAGCGUUACUCGGAAUUAUUGGGCGUAAAGAGCUCGUAGGCGGUCUGUCGCGUCUGCUGUGAAAACUCAGGGCUUAACCCUGAGCUUGCAGUGGGUACGGGCAGACUAGAGUGCGGUAGGGGAGACUGGAAUUCCUGGUGUAGCGGUGAAAUGCGCAGAUAUCAGGAGGAACACCGGUGGCGAAGGCGGGUCUCUGGGCCGUAACUGACGCUGAGGAGCGAAAGCAUGGGGAGCGAACAGG